rnacentral:lncRNA from 1 species
GGCAGAUAAGCCUUUUCCUCAGGCUCUGCUUUCUGGCAAACCCAAGCUAAGACAGGUGUUACUGAGUGGUACCCUCUUCUGGUUGUUACCAUAAUCUCAGAACAUAUUCCGUGUACUCAUGCGCACAGUCAUUUAGAAGGUUGGUAGAAGCAGGGAAGCUGUGGAGUGGCUUCAGACAUUAAUUUAGAUUGUCCUUGGUAAUUCUUUGGGGCCCAAAGAAUAUAGAGAAUUAUUAAAGGUAAACCUAUAAUCUAGGAGAAAAGCUAUAUGAAUUUAUAGAAUAGGGCACCAUAAUGGGGCAUAUGUUUUAGAAAAAUUACCCUGAGAUAAAUGAUUUAAGAGCUCAUAUUUAGAAAUUCUUAAUUAAAGACAGAAAGUUCAUUUCGUGGAAUGCUUAGGAGGAGAUAAUCAUCAUGGUAUGCGUGGAUUCCAGAGAAAUUAGGAUUUGAUUGGUUAUGGAUUAUUUUCGUCCACAAGCAAAACCAUGAACAAGAGUUACACUAAGAGGAGGUCACUGGGGCAGGAUGAAGACAUUGAUUUUUCUUGGACACUCCAUUUGCAGUGCUUCACCCAGCAGCCUCCCCCCUACCAGAACGGAUCUGGAUGAAUCCAAAUGAUUAACACCCUGCUUUGCUAAAGGAAGCAGAUUCUGGGGAAAGGUGUCAAAAAGGUAAAAAAUUACAGAUUGCCGAUUGGGGCAGGGUAGGAGAGAUUUUCCCCAAGGAUUAUGACGGCUUGGGCAUACGGAUAGCCUUGUCAGCCUGGACAGAUGGACAUAAAUAUUCCAAGGACAAAUUGAAGAGAGUAAAGGAGCCACUUCCAAACCCCUGCACUACUCUGGAUUCAUUUUGUGCUGGAGGAUGUGGCUCUCUUCUGAAAUACGAAAUAUUUCUUUACAUUCUGUGUGUGUGCUUGACAACCAAACAGCAAGGCUGUGUAAUAACUGACUGUACCAGCCCUACUUCCGCUAUGAAGGAUGUUGUACUGGGCUCGCUACUAAACAUCCCCCAGAAAGAUAAUGAACAUGCAUAUCCUUGAGAGUGUAUGAGAUUGUCUGUUUAUCUACCUCCUGCCAUCCUACAUCCUACACUCAGUAUUAUUUUUUCCAAAACAAGUUAUUGAUCCUAUUUUUGGAUACUUAAAAAUAGGAUCAAGAAUAUCGAGAACUUUACCAAAGUCCAGAUUGGGGUACUAAGGGGAUGUGACAGAGACAGUUGGCUGUCCGCCAGACUUGGCUCUCCCUUUCCUGGAGAGGCUCUUGGAGGCUCUACUAGAGACGACGUUUCCCAGCCCCAAUUUUAGCAGGGUGGUCAUGUGACCAAGUUCUUCUCAGUGAGGCGUGCGUAGAAGUGAUCUCUGCUGCUUCAGCAUCUGGACCAUGAGACAGUGGGCUUGCACACCCGUUUUCCACUUCCUGCAAGCUAUACACGCCUUGCCUGUGAUCUGGCUUCCACCACGCAGAUGAAGACCUGGCUCUGACAAAGUAACAGGGUGCAAGGAGGCUGAGUCUCUGAGUGAGCACCGUGAGCAGAGCUACCUGCACCCGCCAGCCUGGAUGCCCACUGCGGGGAUCUAACAAGAAAAUAGUACGCUUCCACUGUCUUUAAACAACCAUAUUUUGGAACCAAUUGGUUACACUGCCUC